ACUCAUUGGACCCGGGGGCGGUACCCGGCGCCUCCACCAAAGCGCGGCGCGUAAAAACUGCGUUUUGGUGGGGGCGAAAUAGGAUCGACAAGGGCGUAAAGAUUGCUUUUUUACUCGGUAUGGUACCACCGUCAUCGGACCAGAUUAGUAGUUGCAAAUGACAACUAUGCGGAAGCAAGUCUCGCUGCUUAAUGCGGUGUGAAUGUUUCGAACUGAGCCUUAAAUCGUCGCAGAUUUAAGCGGGGUCCGGAGG
rnacentral:tmRNA from 1 species